rnacentral:snRNA from 1 species
AGAUGUGAGGGUGAUCUGGCUGUGACAUCUGUCACCCCACUGAUCACCAGGGUUGAUUUGGCUGAUCUGGCUGGCUAGGCAAGUGUCUCUUUCCUUCCUCAUUGCUCCACAUGCCUCCCUCCCAAAGCUGUGGCUUGAUCGAAGAGGAGGACCAUCCCAUCCCCACUAGAAGAGGACCACUCUUUGGUCAAGGAAUAUGUAUUAGCAGCUGCACUCCUCUGCCAGAACCUCUAAACAAGUUCUCAAGGUUCAGAAGAGGGAAAACUAAGGUAUAGGGAAUCGAAAGCUGUGUGCUUUAUUU